rnacentral:rRNA from 1 species
GAUGAACGCUAGCGGCAGGCCUAACACAUGCAAGUCGAGGGGUAUCCCGCUUUCGGGCGGGAGAGACCGGCGCACGGGUGCGUAACGCGUAUGCAACCUACCCUGUACUGGGGGAUAGCCCGGAGAAAUUCGGAUUAACACCCCAUAGUACUAAUGAAUGGCAUCAUUUAUUAGUUAAAGGUUACGGUACAGGAUGGGCAUGCGGCCUAUUAGCUAGAUGGUAAGGUAACGGCUUACCAUGGCUACGAUAGGUAGGGGGCCUGAGAGGGUGGUCCCCCACACUGGUACGGAGACACGGACCAGACGCCUACGGGAGGCAGCAGUGAGGAAUAUUGGACAAUGGGCGCAAGCCUGAUCCAGCCAUGCCGCGUGUGUGAAGAAGGCCUUCGGGUUGUAAAGCACUUUAAGUGGGGAGGAAGGUCAGUAAGUUAAUACCUUAUUGAAUUGACGCUACCCACAGAAUAAGCACCGGCUAACUCUGUGCCAGCAGCCGCAGUAA